UUUUCGGACAAUGGAAGUAGAGGAAAGUGGCGGACGGGUGAGUAACGCGUGAGGAACCUGCCUUUCAGAGGGGGACAACAGUUGGAAACGACUGCUAAUACCGCAUAAUGUACACGGACCGCAUGAUCUGUGUACCAAAGAUUUAUCGCUGAAAGAUGGCCUCGCGUCUGAUUAGAUAGUUGGUGAGGUAACGGCCCACCAAGUCUGCGAUCAGUAGCCGGACUGAGAGGUUGAACGGCCACAUUGGGACUGAGAUACGGCCCAGACUCC
rnacentral:rRNA from 1 species